rnacentral:rRNA from 1 species
UACGUAGGGUGCGAGCGUUGUCCGGAAUUAUUGGGCGUAAAGAGCUCGUAGGCGGUGUGUCGCGUCGGUCGUGAAAACUUGGGGCUUAACCCUGAGCUUGCGGUCGAUACGGGCAUCACUGGAGUUCGGCAGGGGAGACUGGAAUUCCUGGUGUAGCGGUGAAAUGCGCAGAUAUCAGGAGGAACACCGGUGGCGAAGGCGGGUCUCUGGACAGUUCCUGACACUGGAGGCACGAAGGCCAGGGGAGCAAACAGGG